GAGCGACAGGGUAGUGGCCAUAGCUGCAUAAAGGAAAACCAGACCUAUAUUAGUACAUAAAUUAUUAAUAUUAAAGACUUGGACUUUAGUCUAAAGUUUCUCUCAGUAUUUUUACGAAUUGGUAGCCUCAACCUCCAAUUCGAGGAAUUACUUUAAUUCCUUAGUGGGUACUAGAAUCCACACAAACUACACACAAGCCCA
rnacentral:lncRNA from 1 species